rnacentral:rRNA from 1 species
UACGUAGGGUGCGAGCGUUGUCCGGAAUUAUUGGGCGUAAAGAGCUCGUAGGCGGCCUGUCGCGUCGGUUGUGAAAGCCCGGGGCUUAACCCCGGGUCUGCAGUCGAUACGGGCAGGCUAGAGUUCGGUAGGGGAGAUCGGAAUUCCUGGUGUAGCGGUGAAAUGCGCAGAAAUCAGGAGGAACACCGGUGGCGAAGGCGGAUCUCUGGGCCGAUACUGACGCUGAGGAGCGAAAGCGUGGGGAGCGAACAGG